UACAGAGGUCUCAAGCGUUGUUCGGAUUCAUUGGGCGUAAAGGGUGCGUAGGUGGCGAGGUUAGUCAGGUGUGAAAUCUCGGGGCUCAACCCCGAAACUGCACUUGAUACUGCCUUGCUAGAGUGCUGGAGAGGAGACUGGAAUUUACGGUGUAGCAGUGAAAUGCGUAGAUAUCGUAAGGAAGACCAGUGGCGAAGGCGAAUCUCUGGACAGUUACUGACACUGAGGCACGAAGGCCAGGGGAGCAAACGGG
rnacentral:rRNA from 1 species